GACGAACGCUGGCGGCGUGCUUAACACAUGCAAGUCGAACGGAAAGGCCCUGCUUUUGUGGGGUGCUCGAGUGGCGAACGGGUGAGUAACACGUGAGUAACCUGCCCUUGACUUUGGGAUAACUUCAGGAAACUGGGGCUAAUACCGGAUAGGAGCUCCUGCUGCAUGGUGGGGGUUGGAAAGUUUCGGCGGUUGGGGAUGGACUCGCGGCUUAUCAGCUUGUUGGUGGGGUAGUGGCUUACCAAGGCUUUGACGGGUAGCCGGCCUGAGAGGGUGACCGGCCACAUUGGGAUUGAGAUACGGCCCAGACUCCUACGGGAGGCAGCAGUGGGGAAUAUUGCACAAUGGGCGGAAGCCUGAUGCAGAAACGCCGCGUGCGGGAUGACGGCCUUCGGGUUGUAAACCGCUUUCGCCUGUGACGAAGCGUGAGUGACGGUAAUGGGUAAAGAAGCACCGGCUAACUACGUG
rnacentral:rRNA from 1 species